AUGGCGAUUAAGCUCUCCGAUUCAAACAAUAGACACGAAAAUAGUGUACAUGAUGAGGAAGAGGAAAUUCUUACCUACCAGAGAACUCCAGUGGUUCUUCAACAGCGGCGGAGAAGAGAAAACUCGAACAUGUAUGCUUUUCAAUUCUUUGAUUCUGCAGAUUCCGAUUUCGUUUCUUCACUUUUAUCUCUUCUACUUGUUUCUUCUGAGAAAUUCUUUUGUUCAUGA